ACACAUGCAGUCGACGGUAACAGGAAGCAGCUUGCUGCUUUGCUGACGAGUGGCGGACCCUUGUAAAAUGUCUGGGAAACUGCCUGAUGGAGGGGGAUAACUAUUGUAAACGGUAGCUAAUACCGCAUAACGUCGCAAGACCAAAGAGGGGGACCUUCGGGCCUCUUGCCAUCAGAUGUGCCCAGAUGGGAUUAGCUUGUUGGUGGGGUAACGGCUCACCAAGGCGACGAUCCCUAGCUGGUCUGAGAGGAUGACCAGCCACACUGGAACUGAGACACGGUCCACACUCCUACGGGAGGCAGCAGUGGGGAAUAUUGCACAAUGGGCGCAAGCCUGAUGCAGCCAUGCCGCGUGUAUGAAGAAGGCCUUCGGGUUGUAAAGUACUUUCAGCGGGGAGGAAGGUGUUGUGGUUAAUAUUUUUAGCAAUUGACGUUACCCGCAGAAGAAGCACCGGCUAACUCCGUGCCAGCAGCCGCGGUAAUACGGAGGGUGCAAGCGUUAAUCGGAAUUACUGGGCGUAAAGCGCACGCAAGCGGUCUGUUAACUCAGAUGUGAAAUCCCCGGGCUCAACCUGGGAACUGCAUCUGAUACUGGCAGGC
rnacentral:rRNA from 1 species